rnacentral:rRNA from 1 species
AUUGAACGCUGGCGGAAUGCUUUACACAUGCAAGUCGAACGGCAGCACGGGGCAACCUGGUGGCGAGUGGCGAACGGGUGAGUAAUAUAUCGGAACGUGCCCAAUCGUGGGGGAGUAACGUAGCGAAAGUUACGCUAAUACCGCAUACGAUCUACGGAUGAAAGCGGGGGAGUCGCAAGACCUCGCGCGAAUGGAGCGGCCGAUAUCAGAUUAGGUAGUUGGUGGGGUAAAGGCUCACCAAGCCAACGAUCUGUAGCUGGUCUGAGAGGACGACCAGCCACACUGGAACUGAGACACGGUCCAGACUCCUACGGGAGGCAGCAGUGGGGGAAUUUUGGACAAUGGGCGCAAGCCUGAUCCAGCCAUUCCGCGUGCAGGAUGAAGGCCUUCGGGUUGU